AGAGCGAACGCUGGCGGCAGGCUUAACACAUGCAAGUCGAGCGCCCCGCAAGGGGAGCGGCAGACGGGUGAGUAACGCGUGGGAACAUACCCUCCGGUUCGGAAUAGCUCAGGGAAACUUGGAUUAAUACCGGAUACGGCCUAGCGGCGAAAGAUUGAUCGCCGGAGGAUUGGCCCGCGUCUGAUUAGCUAGUUGGUGGGGUAAUGGCCCACCAAGGCGACGAUCAGUAGCUGGUCUGAGAGGAUGAUCAGCCACAUUGGGACUGAGACACGGCCCAAACUCCUACGGGAGGCAGCAGUGGGGAAUAUUGGACAAUGGGCGCAAGCCUGAUCCAGCCAUGCCGCGUGAGUGAUGACGGCCUUAGGGUUGUAAAGCUCUUUCGCUAGGGACGAUAAUGACGGUACCUAGACAAGAAGCCCCGGCUAACUUCGCGCCAGCAGCCGC
rnacentral:rRNA from 1 species